rnacentral:snRNA from 1 species
CUGUUGUCUAGGCAGAGGAGGUGAUCCAUGCUCAGGCACGGAUUAUGUGGCUCAUCCAUUGCAAUCCAGAUGUGCUGACCCCAGUGACUGCCCCAAAUGUGGGUAACUCGACUGUGUAAUUUGUGGUAGUGGGGGACUGUGUUUGCACUUUCCCCUA